UGCAGAAUUCUUAUUGCUGGAGAUAAUCGUAGAUCAUGGACAUGUAGGACUGAAAGUGAACAGUCAUCAAGCACCCCCUUCUCCACAUGGCCAAGUAAACCUACCCCCAACCCUGGGCAAUAAGGUGUGCCUAUCUUCCUCCACAUCAAGGGAAGAGGUGAAUUUCAUAUAAUUUUGGAUUUGUACGCCAAGGAGGGUGAACACCUCGAGGAAAGGAAAGAAGGAACAGGCAAAGCAGUAAAAUGAUUAAAAAUAGUAGAACAGUUGUAGCAUUGGGCCUCUGCAGAUUGCAGGCAGUGAGAAAUGAAGAACAAAAAAGGCAUAUGGAAUUACUGGAAGCAGAAAGUGCCAGGGAGAAAGCAGCUCAUGAGAGAGCCUUGGAAGCCCAGAAGCAAGCCACAGAACUUCAAGUAAAAAAAUGGAGAAGUGACGGAAAAAUGAGAUUGCAUGAAUCGGCUCAGUUAGGGAAGUAGAACUAGGACCCCCCGCCAAGGGAUCUCACCUCUCCAAAAAUUCACAAGUGGGAGCAGUUGUGUCCAUCAUACAAUGAGUCUGGAAAUAUCAUUGCAUAUUUCAUUACCUUUCAGAGCCUGUAUAUGUUCCCUGGGAUUCCUGAGGCUCAGAAGAUGGAUACUGUGGUUGCAUAGUUGAUGGGGAGAGCUCUGGACAUAUUUAAUAAGAUGCCAACUGGUGAUGCUUCCAAUUAUGUAAAAUUUAAGGAAUUGGUUCUAAACCAGUUUCAGAUUACACUUGAAAUGUAUAGAAUACAAUUCAGAAGCAAUAAGAGAGGGGUUGGGUUAAGUAAUAUGGCUUAUGUGAACCAAAUCAGACAUUUAUUGGAUAAGUGGGUGAGGGGUAAUGAUAUACAAGUUUGAAGGAAUGUGUGAUUUGGUUUUUCAGGAACAGUUCCAGAAUAUGUCUAAUCAUGUAAAACCAUGUUUAUGGGAUAAAAUAGAAAAUGAUGAACAAUUUGCUUCUUAUGUGGAUCAAUUUAAGAAAUUUAAAGCAGCUAGUUAGGAAUAAAUCACAAACAAAGGGGUUUAAAUAAUUGGAAAGCACAUAAGAAGGAGAGUAGGUGAGACAUCUCCCCAAGUUCACUUGAGUCCUCAUCCGAAAUCUCCUGUAAGAAGGAGGAUCCUAGAACAUGGUAUCACUAUAACACCACUGAGCACCUGAGAAAUAAAUGCCCUAUACCGAGUGGAAAAAGGUAGCAAAUAACUCAUGGAAAUGCUGCUAUUCAGCGCACAGAGGCAUCUCAAGG